UACGGAGGGGGCUAGCGUUGCUCGGAAUUACUGGGCGUAAAGCGCACGUAGGCGGCGAUUCUAGUUAGAUGUGAAAGGCCUGGGCUUAACCUAGGAACUGCAUUUAAUACUGGAUCGCUAGAAUCCGAGAGAGGGUAGUGGAAUUCCCAGUGUAGAGGUGAAAUUCGUAGAUAUUGGGAAGAACACCAGUGGCGAAGGCGGCUACCUGGCUCGGUAUUGACGCUGAGGUGCGAAAGCGUGGGGAGCGAACAGG
rnacentral:misc_RNA from 1 species